rnacentral:rRNA from 1 species
CACCCCUGUACCAAGCAAUUCUAUACUCAUAUAGAACUUUUUAUGUUAAAACUAGUAACAAGAAGAUAUAACUUCUCUUUAAUGCAAGCAUAAAUCAGCCAGGACUAACCACUGAUAAUUAGCACUGAUGGACACCCAGUAGUAACACCCCAAGAAAACCCUACUUCACUAAGUGUUAACCUAACACAAGAGCAUUACAAGAAAGAUUAAAAGAAAAAGAAGGAACUCGGCAAAUCUUAACCCCGCCUGUUUACCAAAAACAUCGCCUCUUCAAAACAAUAAGGGGGCAACCCUGCCCAGUGACUCUGGUCAACGGCCGCGGUAUCCUAACCGUGCGAAGGUAGCGUAAUCACUUUUUCUUUAAAUGAGGACUAGUAUGAACGGCACCACGAAGGUUAUACUUUCUCCUUUCUCUAAUCAGUGAAACUAAUCUCCCCGUGAAGAAGCGGGGGUAAUAUUAUAAGACGAGAAGACCCUAUGGAGCUUUAAACACGGUGACACUUGCCUAACUUAAUCCCUGGUUUCAGAAAACUAACAAUUACCCAGGCAUUAUGAUCACAAGUUUUAGGUUGGGGUGACCACGGAGUAAAAAGUAACCUCCGCAAUGAAUUUGGGSCUUCCCCUAAUCCAAGGACUACAACCCUAAGAAUCAAUAAACUGACAUCAAUUGACCCAGUAUAUCUGAUCAUUGAACCAAGUUACCCUAGGGAUAACAGCGCAAUCCACUUCAAGAGCCCAUAUCGACAAGUGGGUUUACGACCUCGAUGUUGGAUCGGGUAUCCCAGUGGUGCAGCCGCUACUAACGGUUCCUUUGUUCAACCAUU